rnacentral:tRNA from 1 species
AUCUGAUUAGUUUAUUUAAAACAAUGAUUUGUGGAGUCAUAGAUGUAGAUUCUAUAUUAGAUA